AACACUGUUUUUCAUCGUUGUUGGAAUUACGCUGCUGCCUUCUCUCUCUCAAACUGACAAUGGUAGGAAGCAUUAUCUCCUUCGAAGCUCCGAUGAGAUAUCUUUGUGUAAGAUUUUGGCAAGUGUUGCAGAGAAAACAUCUAAUAUGCCUGAGAGCUAAGAAAUUAGCACCAUGUACCCAUUUGUCACAUUCUCUACACAGAAAUGCAUCAUCUGCUUGGCAAUAUAAAGAUGCUCGAGACCCACAGAGUUCACAGCAUAUCAAACUUGAGGCUUCAUCGCCUGAACCAGCUUCUUUCUCCUCUAGUUUCAUGCAGAACCUGCCUUGGUUGUGGCUUCUCUCCUCUACACCUCUGCACAUUUUCUCUCUUUCACAAGCUUAAAAAG
rnacentral:misc_RNA from 1 species